ACGGAAGGCAGCAGUGGGGAAUAUUGCACAAUGGGGGAAACCCUGAUGCAGCAACGCCGCGUGAAGGAUGAAGGCCCUUGGGUCGUAAGCUUCUGUUCUAAGGGAAGAUGAUGACGGUACCUUAGGAGCAAGUCCCGGCUAACUACGUGCCAGCAGCCGCGGUAAUACGUAGGGGGCAAGCGUUAUCCGGAAUUAUUGGGCGUAAAGAGUACGUAGGCGGUUUCCUAAGCAUGGGGUUUAAGGCAAUGGCUUAACCAUUGUUCGCCCCAUGAACUGGGUUACUUGAGUGCUGGAGAGGAAAGCGGAAUUCCUAGUGUAGCGGUGAAAUGCGUAGAUAUUAGGAGGAACACCAGUGGCGAAGGCGGCUUUCUGGACAGUAACUGACGCUGAGGUACGAAAGUGUGGGGAGCAAACAGGAUUAGAUACCCUGGUA
rnacentral:rRNA from 1 species